UAUAAGCCUUCGGUUAAUAGGGAAUGCGGUGCAAGACCGCAGCAGACCCCGCUACUGUAUUCGGUCACGAACGCCCCAUACCGCCACUUUGCAUUUUGCAUGGGAAGGCGGGGCAAGUAGGCUUAUCCGAGAGCCAGGAGACCUGCCGUAUCGU
rnacentral:ncRNA from 1 species